UUACCAUUUCCAAACAAAAUAAAAAUUUUCCUUAGAGUGAGCUAUAAGGAAUAUCAAUAAAAUAAUUGACUGCAGUUUAUAAAAUGACAAGGACAUCACCAUUUUUGAGCCUUAUUCCUCACAAUCCAGCUAAAUGAUGGGAACUUAUCAUGAAUAUAUCAGAUCACUGCUCUAUACCAUCACUGAAAUAUUUCAGGGGCAAAAACACCAAAGUAGUAUAAAUAUAAAUGGAUGUCUAUUGGUUUUUAUGUAAUACUAAAUUCUACUUUCUACCAUAAACACUAUGGAAUUCUCUUGGAUAAACACUUCUGGCCUACUUAACUCCUAUUGAUAGACGAUAUAACAGAGGAUUCCUUAGGAACACCUCUCACUCAUGCUCCCAAGUCUCUUCCAAAAGAAUCCAGAGCAUUCCAUAUGCUUGGAAUUUUAAAUCAUCCUAGAAAGGCAUUCUUUCCUCACAAAGGAAUCUAAACCUAUUUUUAAAGAUACAUAAUUUAAGCGUAAAAAGAGACACAGUUUUGAUUCUCACAUGCAGAAUGGAGUAUCAUAUACAAAACUAAAUUAUUAAAUCCAUGACGGUAAGGUCCAUGCUUUAUGCAAUUUUAACGUCUGGCAAAAAAGUUGUAUCUAAGAAAUGUUCACUGAAUAAACAUGUGAAUGAAUAUAUGAAUGAAUACCUGAGUAAGAGGAAAAAAUAAGAGAAAGAGAGGGGAAAAAACCACUAUUGUUAGCAUUUCAUUUCUGCUUUUAGCAGUCUGAUUGCAUAGACAGAGGAAGCAUAAUAACUAGUAACCAAAGUUAUGUAUCUCUAGUUACACAGGGUCACAAUGGACCCUCUAUUGUGUCAAGGAGAAAAAGAAGACAAUGCUACAAGGAUGAUGCCUCCCAACACACUCGGUUUCCCCACUCAGGGAACAAGUAAUUUACAGCUUUCUGAAAAGUCAUGCGUUUAAGUCAUCCAGUACCAACAUUGAAUGGCAUUAGAGAACCAAGACUGACCUCCCCCAGACAACAAGGAAUUCUGCCAGUUGACAAUCUUCAGACUUGAAAUGCAACAUCAGCUCUUCCCUGCUGUACCAGCUUUCCAGCCUAUCCUGCAGAUUUUGGACUUGCAAGCACCCAUAAUCACGUGAACCAAAUCCUUAAAAUAAAUAAAUCUCUCUCCCUCUCUCUAUAUAUGUAUGUACGGACAUAUGUAUGUAUAUAUACCACUGGUUCCGUUUCUCUGGAGAACCAUAACAAAUACAGUGACUUUCUUUUUAAUUGCUAGAUUUGAAUUAAGAUUUUUCUAAAUUUAGCAUCUUUUUCUUCUCACCAAAUUAAAAACGAGAUUGUGCUUGAAAAUGAAUAAUUUAAAACGAUUUUCUGGGGCCGGCCCGGUGGCGCAGGGGUUAAGUACACACGUUCCGCUUCAGCGG